ACAUAACCUAAACACAUCGCUGUAAGGACUGUAAAGUCAAACACCACAUAGAGCGUGGAGGGCAGGUAGGUUUAAGGUUUAAGACAGACGCGGGUUAAAGAGAGUAACUACAGUAUAGUAAAUUAAAGCACUGUGGUGUUGGACCAGAGUGCCGUUGGAUUAGAGGAUUUAUUUCAUGUUUUUAUUUUUCAAUACUGCAACAAAACAUCAACACGCCAGUUGAGUAUAUUGAGCUAUAGUAUAGUGACCUUCCUCAUAGCUGUGCGCCUGUCAAAUGUUGUAACAGUGAGGUGCACGGCGAUGCGUUACGGAGCUUGAUUUGGCCUCUACGUGCCUCUGGAGGCUAUGUGAUUGCGUCACACCCUCCAUACGAAGCCUCCAACCACAUUUUCGGAUCAAGCCUAAAUUGGCUCUGACUUCUGCAGAGGCCAUAUCACUGUCAACGCUGCAUGGUCAAUGCAGACGUCGGAUUGACCAUGCAGCGCCUUUAAGAGAGAUGUGUGAAGGUGGGCUGGUGAAGGAGGCAACAGAUGAUAAUGAAUCCAUCCAUCCAAGAGAAGGAGAGAGGCAGGUCAAAAUGGGUUGUCCACUGCAUGCAUCAAAGAACCUAUGUCAGGUAUUAUCCUUUCUAUGCCGAAUUUAAAUGUUCCUCCAACUUUACUGCUGGGUGUGUUGAAAUGGCUGUUCAGACUGUAGAAUGACAGACGGUAGGUGCGUUUACCUCAGAGCCCCAGAAGACCCUGUGCUCUGCUGGGGGCCCUGGGGGAAAAUGUCCCUUAUUGUAAGAUCCUCUAUUAUCUUUACUGUCUGUGUCUCUUUGAUGCCAGGCCCCUAUAGUGCUCUCUCAGUGCUGGGUGUAGUAUUGUUGUGUUGGGGGCCUCUGCCUCUUGCUGUGUUUGGAUCACAGGUGGUAGGAAAGGUAGAGAGCAGUGGAGGCUGGUGGGCCCAUCCUCCGAUUUAAAGUGAUACCAGCCACCACUGGUAGAGAAAGGGUUCUAUGACACAGUAAAAUAUAAAUUACACGACGUAUUUACCUACCUUAAUAGCACAAAUCUAACAUUGGAAAAACAAUGGCAUCCAUGUCCCACAGUCGACCAUCACAAGCAGCAUAAGCACACCAAGGAUGUAGUAGCAUCUAGUCGCGCCAUUUUUGUAGUUCUUUGUCAGAGUCCUUUACUGUUGCUGAAUGAGUUUUUAAGCUGGGACAAACCCAGCACAUACUUUCAGUCAAUACACAGAGAGAGGGCCCCCUCCCUCAUAGCAACACAGCCAUGCCAACCACAUCCUUGUGUAGGGUAAUACUCAUCUAUCAAUCAAAGGGGAAAGGGGGAUACCUAGUCAGUUGCACAACUGAAUGCAUUCAACCAAAAUGUGCCUUCUGCAUUUAACCCAACCCCUCUGAAUCAGAAAGGUGUGAGGGGCUGCCUUAAUCGACAUCCACGUCUUCGGCGCCCGGGGAGCAGUUGUUGUGGGGGUUAACUGCCUUGCUCAAGGGCAGAACAGCAGAUUUUUUCCAUCUUGUCAGCUCAGGAAUUCAAUUCGAACAAGCAACCGUUUGGUUACUGCCCUAACGCUCUAACCACUAGGCUACCUGCUGCCCAACUAAUCAAUGAAGCCUUUUAAACACAAUCAAAUAAUCAAUCAAUCAAUCACACCCAACAGGUCCUCUUAUUUCAGGUUGUCUUCAGGUUGUCUUCCAGACCUUACUGUGAUGUUGUGAUACUGUGACACUGUUAGCCCCUAGCCAUCUGACACCUGUGGAUGGUCUCAGGUAGGACAUAGUAGCCUGAAGCAGGGUUAAGCCAUCUCAUGUAAAACUACCAACACAUCUGCCUCCUCCCAUCUUCUCAGGAAAGGAUACCUGGUGGGGUCUCUCAGGGAAGAUGAGAGGGGUACGCAAGACAGGCUAGACAUUCAAAACACUCCAUGUACCGAGGGUUCUGGGUGAAGGAGAUAAAGAGGGGUAAUGAAGGAGAGAGGGACUGGGUGUAACAGUAGCUGUGUCGGUGGGACACUGGGAGGGUCACCUGUCACUCAACCCCCUGUGGUAUCCAUGGUGAGACGGGCCCUCAAGGCAUCAACAGCGUGACAUCACAUCCUCCCGAGGGAUCAAUUAGGUGGGUUCAGAAGGACAGAGACUCUUCACUCGUCCUCUCCACAGCAAAGGUUUCUUACCUAAGAUCAACGUGUUUUCACAAUCACAACUCCCUUUGUAGGGAGAAAAAAACAUUGAAGUAAAUUGUAGGAGCGUUAUAUUCAAGUGUCCGACUUAAAUAAGCACAAAUGUAUUUCCACGGAUGAACACAAAGUAAGCCGUCAAAUUACUGCAACGAUUCUUCACUAGUCUUACUACUCUGGAUAAAGGUAUAGGCUCUGGGCUCUACUCUAGACCAUUCCAACUCUGCUCUCUUUCACCAUCUCUCUCUCUCCCCACCCUCCCUUUCUCUGACAGUUUGGGAUUUGAGGGGUUGUCACCAUCUCAUCCACUCGAUCCCUCUAUCCCCCUUCCCUCUCACUGGUAGGUUGGGGGUGUCAUAUUCGUCCAUUGCCAUGGGUAUUCACCCUCCUCUCCUGGGUGCUUCCUCUCCUCUCCUGGGAGUUGCCCCUCCUGCUGUGGGAGGUGUAGAAGAGAUCAG
rnacentral:lncRNA from 13 species